UUAAGUUCAGCGGGUAGUCCUACCUGAUUUGAGGUCAGAUGACAUUUGUAUUGUCCUAAGACGAUUAGAAGCGACCAUUACACCGGUCUUACUGCGACGUUUCAAAGCAUACACCUAUCACGCCGCCAUUAGACAUGGCAUUAGAGACCGCUGAUACAUUUCAAGACGAGCCGACUCCCAAGGGAGCCCGCAACAUCCAA
rnacentral:misc_RNA from 1 species